CUUGCACCUUGUUUCAUUUCCCUUCAAUAUUUUAGUCUUGAUGCUUAUCACCUACAACCAAUUUUCACGAAUUCAAAAUUUUGGUUUUCCAAGGGAAAAAUGUUUGUGAAAAGGGGUGUAGCUUAAGUUAAGCUUCAACAGGUUACAGGUGAUCAAUUCUGUAUAAAGAGACGACCCAUUGGGAGCACGUUGGAUUGUACAUGUUUGAUUUUUUUUUUUUUUAAUUUAACAUUAUUAUUAUUUGGCAUUUUUCAGGUUCUACCAAGUUCAGUGCAGUGCUUAGUAGGAGAGUGAUCCAAACCCAAUUAUGUUGUCCAGGAGAGUGAUCUAAACCCUCAGCAAUUGGAGCUAGAUUGUAUAAAGUCACAUCCUUGGAAAUGUGGCUGAUGCAACAUAUCUAGUUCCCAUAACUGUUCAGCAUGACCUUUGGUUGCCCUGAGUGGAUGUACUUUCCUUCUCUUUGGUUUGGCAUAUUGAUCACUUCUUGUUAAGCUCACUGGGAAAUUUGAUAUUGAUGCAAAUCAGGAUUCUGAUCUUUUAGCUACGAUUGGAUCAAAGUGCUAUAAUACUCUUGUCGAGCAUCUUGUUUCCCUUGAAACAGGGAAUGCAGCUGGGGAAGGUUGGUAAGGGUGGUCUUGAAGAAGAUUCCCUUGAUUUUGCUUUGACAGAAACUGUAACUUUAGGAGUUUAUUCUCUUUGCUUUUUAGGAGCUAAAUUGUUUGAUGUUACUCCAAUUUCAGUCACAAAAAGCGGAGACACAAAAGAACAAGAGGAACUCAAUAGAGUGCUGGAAUUGUCAAGAGAUUACUAUAAACAUCCUCGUGAUGCAUUAUAUGAUUGUCUAGAUUAUGGAUUCGAUGAGUCAUUUGAUGACACUGAAAUUUCGAUAUCUGGAGUUCUUGAAGAUUCCUUGCAGGGGCACAGUGAUGAUGAGUAUCAAGGAUCCCUUAAGCCAAAAUUUAAUGGUUCACGAGACUGCAAUGCAUCCAGUGAUUGUAACAACAAUGUAUUAUCUACAGAAAUCAUUGUUAGGGGGGCUGAUACUCCACUUUCCAAGAUUUCUAGUGGAAGUUACCCUGAUCAGUCAAACUGUGAUGAAUCUAGAGAUUGUUCCAACUCUGUUGGUUUCAUUGAGAAAACAAGAACCGGCGCAAUGGACAGAGCUGGCUUUGAUGCAUGUUAUUCUUUGAAAGAGGAACUUAAGAGACCCUUGCCAUUGGAUAUGCUAUCUCACAAAUGUAGUCCAUCUACAAGUUCAGAUGAAAACAACCUUCUCUUAGCGGGUCCUUUACCUCUAUCUGACAAAGAUGAUUCUUCUAAAUGCUACACUUCCAAAGACCAUGUGAAUUUCUUAGAAGGAGAUUAACUGAUUCUGAAACCAGAUCGAAAUCCCAUGCACCAAAGUGAAAUGGCUCUUGUUGAGCAAGAUAAUUUUGAUGGGCUGCUUACUAACAGAACCAAAGAUGAGGAGUUGAUUCAAAACUUUUUGAGAAAUAGCCAGUUGACCACAUAUGGGUACGCACACCGUUUUUGGCUUGUAACACCCCUUUUUCUUCCAAUCAUGAGCCUCCAUUUGGAAUUGCGUUACUUUACAAGGAUCCUGUUUUUUCAGCCUGUCGUGCCUAAAAGGGGUUCAAUGGUGAACUCUAUAUCUUAAUAAUUGAUGAAGGUUAUGUAAAUUAGCCUAGUCUGGUGUGGGAAAAGUUAAAUGAGGUCAAUGUUUAGGAGGACUAUCAUGCUAGCAUUCACAAUGCAACAUCAAUGGAAGCAACUUAUAGGUUGGAUAUGCUAUGCUGAAAAAAACUUUGCUCAUAUACUACCUUUAUUUCUUCUGCAAAGAUUCCACAACAAGCAAUUGGGGCAACCAUCAAGCAUCACAUUUGCCAAAAAAAUGGGUCUAAUGGAUCCUGCAGAAUCAGGAUUAAGCUCUAAUCACAAUUUUGACAACCCAUGCCCUCCAUGUCAGAUUUGAAGGGAAACUGCCUUUGUGUGACAAAAUCUGAUGUGGAGGUUAUGGGGCCUGCCUAAUUUUGCAGGAUCUCAUUCCCAAAUGGGUACUAUAUAAGAAGUUAUCAUUUUGAAGACUAUGGAGCUAUUCAAUUUUUAUUUUUAUUUUAGAAGGCUAUGGACUCAUCAAUCAGUCAUACCUACAAAUUUGAAUCCCCAAUUAGGAGGGAUUCUCUAUCAUAUGUUUUUAGUGAAUUGAUGUUUGCUUCCACUACUUUGUCAUGGUUAUUUCAAUACAGUGAGGACAUUUCAACAGGCAAUACUCUUCUUGUUUGGUUUGAGAUUAUCAUUGCACCAUAUAUUAUUCUUUAUUCCAGCUUUUCUUCUUUAUUUCCACUCAAUUUUAGCAGAUGGAAUUACAUAUGACAUUUUUUACUCUAAAUUCUCAUAACAAAUCAACAUCUUUUGUAGGAAAAUGAUUUCCAUAAUAGAUCAUAAAAUCUAGCUGGUAAUAUCACUGCAGACAAAUCAAAGCUUCUCUAGAAAAUUAAUCCUGGUGUCAAACCCUUCAUGUGGUUGAACAGAUUUUUCGCUCAUGUGUCCUACAUGCCUUUGCACGGGGAUGGCAAUGGCAAGCGAGCAUGAUCCUUAAAUUGACCCCUUCGAUUAGAGGUGCAUUGCAUCAUUGUGUCUCUUGCCAUCAGCUGAAAAAUGAAAAUGUCCUAUUAGUUGCGUCUUCAAGCUAGUUGUAAGCGCUCCCGUACAUAACUUAUGGUGUACCUGAAAGAGUCAUGUCUUUGUACCUCUAGCAUACACUGAUUAAUGUUACUUAGAUGUCCAAAUCGUAUGCUUACAAUGCUUAGAAGAUUGCUGACAAAAAUAUCGUACCUGCCCAGGUAUGCAUAAAUCCUUUUGUAUUUUGAGAAUAAUACUUUUCGGCA